CGCCGCAUCUUAGUUGCGCCGGGAAGAGACAGGGAAAUCAUCUGAGGUCAGCACUCACCUCCUGCGGGCCAUGGACAGCCUUGAUAGUUCACACCAGGACUGGUGUGGCAGUAAGCAAAACUGGUAUGAGAUCGGACCCACGGACUUGCUGGAGCGCAAGGGCUCCCUGACCCUCCGCUCCCAUCACAAGAAGUACUCCAGGCCUGUGUUGGUGUAUUCCUGGCAUCAUAACAGAGAAGCUUUUCCCAAAGAUUAUGAUAUAGAGGGUCCUGAGAAAGUGAAAAAACUGUGUAAUUCAACAUACUGGCGACUUGGAACUGAUGAACCUCCAAUUUGGAUAUCAGAAACACAUGAACAGAUGUCACGAGUUUUUUUAAAAAGAGAAUUUGCUGAAAUAAAGAGCAAGGCCUUAUUAAAUGAGGACACACUGUGCUCUGGGAUUAUUGAAAGGGACACUGGAUUACCCGCCACGGGCUUUGGGGCGGUCUUUACCAGACAUCCACCAGAUCGGGACAAAAUAGGCAUUUUCCUCUGGUGGCUGGUGAUCAACGCUCACUUUCCUGUUUAUGGUUGAGAGGAGAUGGAGUUUGGAGCCUGUGAGUGAGGCUUGUUGGCUGGGAGCUUCACUGGAGGAAUCUAGAUGGGGCAUUUUUCAAAGCAGUUCAAAGGUCAGAAUUGCAGUCUUUUCUCUGUGAUGAAUCAGACUCCCACAGUGACACCCUGAGUCUCCCAUCUGAAGAGAAAAAGGCUGGUGCUGUUAUGAGCUCGGGACUGAGGGAAUCUUCCCAAAGAGGAGAUAGAGACCUCAGCUUGCCUCUACACACAGAGUACUUUCUUGACCCAUCGUGGAAAAGAACUGCAGGACUCAUCAGUAAAAGCCAUAUGCAUAUUUACUAGCACAGUCAAAGAAGUACACACUCAGAAGAGUGCAGGUGCUCAAAGGGUACGAUUUAACAACAUACUCGGAAGAUUAUGUUCCGCCCUAUGA